UGAACCUGCGGAAGGAUCAUUACCGAGUGAGGGCCCUCUGGGUCCAACCUCCCACCCGUGUCUAUCGUACCUUGUUGCUUCGGCGGGCCCGCCGUUUCGACGGCCGCCGGGGAGGCCCUGCGCCCCCGGGCCCGCGCCCGCCGAAGACCCCAACAUGAACGCUGUUCUGAAAGUAUGCAGUCUGAGUUGAUUAUCGUAAUCAGUUAAAACUUUCAACAACGGAUCUCUUGGUUCCGGCAUCGAUGAAGAACGCAGCGAAAUGCGAUAAGUAAUGUGAAUUGCAGAAUUCAGUGAAUCAUCGAGUCUUUGAACGCACAUUGCGCCCCCUGGUAUUCCGGGGGGCAUGCCUGUCCGAGCGUCAUUGCUGCCCUCAAGCACGGCUUGUGUGUUGGGCCCCCGUCCCCCUCUCCCGGGGGACGGGCCCGAAAGGCAGCGGCGGCACCGCGUCCGGUCCUCGAGCGUAUGGGGCUUUGUCACCUGCUCUGUAGGCCCGGCCGGCGCCAGCCGACACCCAACUUUAUUUUUCUAAGGUUGACCUCGGAUCAGGUAGGGAUACCCGCUGAA
rnacentral:rRNA from 1 species